rnacentral:rRNA from 1 species
GAUGAACGCUGGCGGCGUGCCUAAUACAUGCAAGUCGAGCGAACGGACGAGAAGCUUGCUUCUCUGAUGUUAGCGGCGGACGGGUGAGUAACACGUGGAUAACCUACCUAUAAGACUGGGAUAACUUCGGGAAACCGGAGCUAAUACCGGAUGAUAUUUUGAACCGCAUGGUUCAAAAGUGAAAGACGGUCUUGCUGUCACUUAUAGAUGGAUCCGCGCGGCAUUAGCUAGUUGGUAAGGUAACGGCUUACCAAGGCAACGAUGCAUAGCCGACCUGAGAGGGUGAUCGGCCACACUGGAACUGAGACACGGUCCAGACUCCUACGGGAGGCAGCAGUAGGGAAUCUUCCGCAAUGGGCGAAAGCCUGACGGAGCAACGCCGCGUGAGUGAUGAAGGUCUUCGGAUCGUAAAACUCUGUUAUUAGGGAAGAACAUAUGUGUAAGUAACUGUGCACAUCUUGACGGUACCUAAUCAGAAAGCCACGGCUAACUACGUG